rnacentral:rRNA from 1 species
GACGAACGCUGGCGGCGUGCUUAACACAUGCAAGUCGAACGGAAAGGCCCUGCUUUUGUGGGGUGCUCGAGUGGCGAACGGGUGAGUAACACGUGAGUAACCUGCGCUUGACUUUGGGAUAACUUCAGGAAACUGGGGCUAAUACCGGAUAGGAGCUCCUGCUGCAUGGUGGGGGGUGGAAAGUUUCGGCGGUUGGGGAUGGACUCGCGGCUUAUCAGCUUGUUGGUGGGGUAGUGGCUUACCAAGGCUUUGACGGGUAGCCGGCCUGAGAGGGUGACCGGCCACAUUGGGACUGAGAUACGGCCCAGACUCCUACGGGAGGCAGCAGUGGGGAAUAUUGCACAAUGGGCGGAAGCCUGAUGCAGCAACGCCGCGUGCGGGAUGACGGCCUUCGGGUUGUAAACCGCUUUCGCCUGUGACGAAGCGUGAGUGACGGUAAUGGGUAAAGAAGCACCGGCUAACUACGUG